rnacentral:rRNA from 1 species
GAUGAACGCUGACGGCGUGCCUAAUACAUGCAAGUCGAGCGAACGGACGAGAAGCUUGCUUCUCUGAUGUUAGCGGCGGACGGGUGAGUAACACGUGGAUAACCUACCUAUAAGACUGGGAUAACUUCGGGAAACCGGAGCUAAUACCGGAUAAUAUUUUGAACCGCAUGGUUCAAAAGUGAAAGACGGUCUUGCUGUCACUUAUAGAUGGAUCCGCGCUGCAUUAGCUAGUUGGUAAGGUAGCGGCUUACCAAGGCAACGAUGCAUAGCCGACCUGAGAGGGUGAUCGGCCACACUGGAACUGAGACACGGUCCAGACUCCUACGGGAGGCAGCAGUAGGGAAUCUUCCGCAAUGGGCGAAAGCCUGACGGAGCAACGCCGCGUGAGUGAUGAAGGUCUUCGGAUCGUAAAACUCUGUUAUUAGGGAAGAACAUAUGUGUAAGUAACUGUGCACAUCUUGACGGUACCUAAUCAGAAAGCCACGGCUAACUACGUG